rnacentral:rRNA from 1 species
CUGGUUGAUCCUGCCAGUAGUCAUAUGCUUGUCUCAAAGACUAAGCCAUGCAUGUCUAAGUAUAAAUGUUAUACAGUGAAACUGCGAAUGGCUCAUUAAAACAGUUAUAGUUUAUUUGAUAAUCGAAUUUUACAUGGAUAACCGUGGUAAUUCUAGAGCUAAUACAUGCUGUUUAGCCUGACUUCUAGGAAGGGCUGUAUUUAUUAGAUAACAAACCAAUAUUCCUCGUGUCUAUUGUGAUGACUCAUAAUAACUGAUCGAAUCGCAUGGGCUUUGCCCGCGAUACAUCAUUCAAGUUUCUGCCCCAUCAGCUUUCGAUGGUAGUGUAUUGGACUACCAUGGCUUUAACGGGUAACGGAGGAUUAGGGUUCGAUUCCGGAGAGGGAGCCUGAGAAACGGCUACCACAUCUAAGGAAGGCAGCAGGCGCGUAAAUUACCCAAUCCUGACUCAGGGAGGUAGCGACAAGAAAUAACGGACCGAGGCUUCACGCUUCGGGAUUGCAAUGAGUAGAAUUUAAACCCCUUUACGAGGAUCAAUUGGAGGGCAAGUCUGGU